GACGAACGCUGGCGGCGUGCUUAACACAUGCAAGUCGAACGGAAAGGCCCUGCUUUUGUGGGGUGCUCGAGUGGCGAACGGGUGAGUAACACGCGAGUAACCUGCCCUUGACUUUGGGAUAACUUCAGGAAACUGGGGCUAAUAUCGGAUAGGAGCUCCUGCUGCAUGGUGGGGGUUGGAAAGUUUCGGCGGUUGGGGAUGGACUCGCGGCUUAUCAGCUUGUUGGUGGGGUAGUGGCUUACCAAGGCUUUGACGGGUAGCCGGCCUGAGAGGGUGACCGGCCACAUUAGGACUGAGAGACGGCCCAGACUCCAACGGGAGGCAGCAGUGGGGAAUAUUGCACAGUGAGCGGAAGCCUGAUGCGGCAGCGCCGCGUGCGGGAUGCCGGCCUUCGGGUUAUAAACCGCUUUCGCCUGUGACGAAGCGUGAGUGACGGUAAUGGGUAAAGAAGCACCGGCUAACUACGUG
rnacentral:rRNA from 1 species